UACGAAGGGGGCUAGCGUUGCUCGGAAUCACUGGGCGUAAAGCGCACGUAGGCGGAUUGUUAAGUCAGGGGUGAAAUCCUGGAGCUCAACUCCAGAACUGCCUUUGAUACUGGCAAUCUUUGAGUCCGGGAGAGGUGGGUGGAACUGCGAGUGUAGAGGUGAAAUUCGUAGAUAUUCGCAAGAACACCAGUGGCGAAGGCGGCUCACUGGCCCGGUACUGACGCUGAGGUGCGAAAGCGUGGGGAGCAAACAGG
rnacentral:rRNA from 1 species